ACUCAUUAACAGUAGGUGGCGGUAUGCACCUUAAAGUUGUUUGCGAUCCACCAUGAUAGAAGAGAAGAAGAAGACGAAGAAGAAGAAGAAGAAGAAAAAAAAACGUGCUGAGCGCUCCGCUACUGUGUGUUCAUGUCCUCUUCUGAGCCUGAAGAUGAAAUAAAACCACAACUGCUGUAAGCAGCACGCCGUCUUCACAACUCGGAGACAAAUUGCAGGCGCUAUGAACCGAAGCAAGGACUAAGCACGCCUCAUAAUGAGGCGGUGACCUCCUAUUUGCUCUGAGCAAUAACUGCAAAUCCAGAUUUACACGAUGUUGAUAAAGACGACAUUGUGUCCGCCUGUAAGACGUAUUAUGAGACGGUACGCAGGAGCUGAAGCUGCCAA